AUUGAACGCUGGCGGCAGGCCUAACACAUGCAAGUCGAACGAGUGGCGGACGGGUGAGUAAUGUCUGGGAAACUGCCUGAUGGAGGGGGAUAACUACUGGAAACGGUAGCUAAUACCGCAUACCAUCAGAUGUGCCCAGAUGGGAUUAGCUUGUUGGUGGGGUAACGGCUCACCAAGGCGACGAUCCCUAGCUGGUCUGAGAGGAUGCCCAGGCACACUGGAACUGGGACACGGGCCAGACUCCUACGGGAGGCAGCAGUGGGGAAUAUUUGACAAUGGGGGGAAGGCUGAUGCAGCCAUGCCGCGGGGAUGAAGAAGGCCUUCGGGUUGUAAAGUACUUUCAGCGGGGAGGCGUUACCCGCAGAAGAAGCACCGGCUAACUCCGGGCCAGCAGCCGCGGUAAUUC
rnacentral:rRNA from 1 species